rnacentral:tRNA from 1 species
UGGCUCAGAUGGUAAAGCAUCUGCCCGCAAUGCGGAAGACCCGGGUUCAAUCCCCGG